rnacentral:misc_RNA from 1 species
AUAUCUAAUAAAUAUAUAACAAUUAAUAAUAAAUACAUAAAUCAAUUAAUAAUAUGUAUAGGAGGUCUAUUUAGCAACAUAUACAGUGUCAUCAUCUAAGUAAAUAAUGAUAGAGAAAGGAAGGAGAGAAAGAGGGGGAGAGAAAGGCAAGAGAAAGCAAAUAUAUGUUUGCGAGAAAUACAUGGGCAUUUUAGUCCAAAAAAUUUUAUUGUUCUAAAUUUGUGGAAUUCAUUUUAAAUUUUGUCAAAUUUGAUGGGAAUUGGUUUUAGUUAUAACCAGUUCCAUAGAAUUCACGAAUUCACUUCCUGGAAUUCAAUUCUAAAAUUUUUAAUUGUGCAAUUCAUUUAAACCAGAAGGAACCAUCAUGAUCAUAUACCAAGAAAUAAAUAAAUAUAUUAUGCAAAGCUGAAAACAAAACAAAAAUUAAGAGUUAGAAGUGUAGUCAGAAUUCAAAAGCUGCAAUACAAUAUGGUGCUGUUUGGUUAAGGUGAGUUCGCUCAGGAACUUAAGUUCAUGACAAGUUAACAAAUUCAGCUUGUUCGGUUGUCAUUUUUCUCAACUAUUGGGAAGUAACUUAAUUAUCCCAUGGGGCUAAGGGAGCCUGAACCGAAGGAGAACUAAACCUGUAAGCAAUUACUUACCAAAAAGAAGCAGUCCUUAGAAUUGAAAUCAAAAUUUUCAGUAAAGCAGAGCCCUUUAUACCAAAAGACAAGAAAUUCAUAAGUGCAACAUCUAAAAUUCCAAAAACAAUUAGUAAAUGAGAAAAGAGCAAAAUGAAACUCCCACAAAAUAACCUCAUAAAUUCAUACAAAAAUACCAUAAUCAAACAUUAUAUGAAGCAACCAUCUGUCAAUUAAUAAACCGAGAACGAUAACCCAGCAGCAGAAUGCCAAAACAACUUCAAAUGAAUUGUUGGUUAUCAAACACACUCUACAAUUAGUCAUAUCCAAAUCCAAUAACCCACGAACAGAAUCACAAUUGAAUAGAAUGGUAAUCUCGUUAAGCGAUUCAUAAGAAAUCUCGUUGAUUGAAAAAAUUUAUAUAUAGAAAGCCUAAACAUUAGGCUCUCAAUCAAACCCUAGACCGAGCAAGACCUGAAAUUCUGAAAAUUAUAGCUAAGAUAAAAAAAACCCAGAUUAAUCAAGACCCAAUAAUCUAAUAACUUCAAAGCCUAACUUACCAACAAAAACUCCAAAUAUUCAAUACCCUAUCAAUGAUCACAUAUAACCACAUUAACCCAAUAAACCCAUCAACCAAAAGCCAGGAGAAAUCACCUACCAGGAAAUAAAAAAAAAAGAAAAGCACUUGAUGUCUCGCAGCUAGGCAUUGGCAGUUUUGGGGAU